rnacentral:lncRNA from 1 species
UUUCCAAUCGCAGUGACGCCCGCUGCACUCCCGAUGUCCCCCUUUCCGGCUCUACAAGCCACUCUUCUCAGCCUUGUACACGGCAACCUUGACUCCAGAAGUGAUCUUCACCUCAGGGAGAAAAGACAAAGCCAGAGCUCCAAUCCACCUACCUCAAGACCAGUUGUCAUCCUCUGGCCAGCCCAGCGUGAUGGUAGUGAAAGGAUCCACAAACAGACCGGGGUCAUCGUACAGCUCUGCAUGCCCUUUGUCUCUCUGCAGAGGAAGCAGCUGCUGAGAUCUCUGGGAUUGGAAUAUACUGGAACUCACGUCUUUCCCAGGUCGCUUGGCCCCUUCAAAGUUGCUGAUGGGAGACAUCUAGGACAAUACCGACACCAGGUUUUCACUAGCUCCUCAUACUUCUGUUUCUGAGGAGGACAAGGUUGGUGUAUUCACAGGGCUUCUGACAGUUGGAAGAUGAGCCCUUGGACAGGGAAAGACUGGAACAUAGCUCACCCUCUGCCUGAGAUUCACACAGCCCUCCGUCAAUGCCAGUGGGUGAGGCCCUUCUGCCAAGUUUUCCUGAGCCUCCCCCAUCCCACACAACACAAGCGCUACUCCAUUUCUACUUAUCCCAAUGUCGUGACAACUGCUUCUUUCUUUUCUGCUCAAUGCCACUUUGUCGUCCUUGUGAUUCAUGAUCACUAUUCAAUUCUAUCAUUGUUCCUGUUCCUGCUUCUUAGAAUCUCUUCUCAUGAAUGCUUCAGUAUUCAAUGAAUAAAUCAACUUUUUUAAGUGGGCCCCAAAGACUCAAAGAUUAUAAUUAUUACCUUCAGAAAGAACAUAAAUCCACGCUAACAUUUUCAAAAUGUCAAACAUUAUGAAAAGGU